rnacentral:rRNA from 1 species
UACGGAGGCCCCAAGCGUUGUUCGGAUUUAUUGGGCGUAAAGGGUGCGUAGGCGGCAUCUUAAGUCUGGUGUGAAAGGCGCGGGCUCAACCCGCGGACUGCAUUGGAUACUGGGAUGCUGGAGGACUGGAGAGGAGAAUGGAAUUCACGGUGGAGCAGUGAAAUGCGUAGAUAUCGUGAGGAAGGCCAGUGGCGAAGGCGAUUCUCUGGACAGUACCUGACGCUGAGGCACGAAGGCUAGGGGAGCGAACAGG